rnacentral:rRNA from 1 species
UACGGAGGGAGCUAGCGUUGUUCGGAAUUACUGGGCGUAAAGCGCGCGUAGGCGGCUUCGCAAGUCAGAGGUGAAAGCCCGGGGCUCAACCCUGGAACUGCCUUUGAGACUGCGUCGCUAGAAUCCGGGAGAGGUGAGUGGAAUUCCGAGUGUAGAGGUGAAAUUCGUAGAUAUUCGGAAGAACACCAGUGGCGAAGGCGGCUCACUGGACCGGUAUUGACGCUGAGGUGCGAAAGCGUGGGGAGCAAACAGG